GUCUCUCCAGUAGAUCUGUCUCUACAGAGACAGAUCACUGUAGAGACUUUCUGUCUGAAGCAGCUGUUGGAAGGAGAGUUUCUAGACGAUGGGCUCUGUGUUGGAGCAGCCUGAAGCCGCUAUAAAUAAUCUUAAAUGCUGGAUCUGGUGGAGGCUGCUGCUCUGACGUUGGCUUGGCUGCUGUUUGAAGUUGAACCUGGAACAAGUCGGUCGACUGCUGAGUCAUCGAAAGCUGCAGUUUAAUGUGAAACAGCUGCUGCUUCUUUUAUAGUUUUUUUGUGCUGGGAUUUAACUCUUUGCUGGCUUCUCCAGGAAGAAACCCUGCUGGGAUAACUGGGAAGUGUUCCAGUGACGAGGAGAGCCAGCCAGGAAACACCAGAGCAGCAGCCCUGCAGGUCACGUCCCAUCAAAGGUUUUGGAAUUUGCAGACUAAGUUGUAGUUAAAAAGAUUUACGUCCUCAAAGUGUUUGUUGCGAGUCUAAAUCCAAAGUUGUGCUUCUUAGAUUCCCUGCAGUAAAUGUGGAUCAUUUCCACGAGGAAUGCAGUCGAGCAAUCAUGAUGUUUAUGUUUCAUAGCUUUAAUUCAGCUCAUCAUCUUUAAACUGUGACUGUUAAAAAAAGAACGACUUAACAAAUCAACCUGCUGAUCACCAACUCAUUCAUUCAUGUAACCAAACAGACAGAAGCACUGUGAUAUCCCACAUAAUAAAUAAACCACCGCUGUCACUGAAUGAAAUAAAGAAAAUAUGAAACUAAAUGAGUUUUUUCUAUUAAAAAAACAACUCUGGAGGUAAAUGUUGACAAUCAAACCCAGAUGAGUUCUGCAGAGAAAGUUGAUGUUUAUAAAAGUGUUUUACUGCCACAAUAACAAAAAAUCAGCUCAUUAUUCAGCAGAACAUGUGAUCAGUUAUGUUAUUAGGACUUUUUCUGUGUUAACACUGAAUACUGGAGCUUCCACCGCUGAUAAAGGCUCUUUAUUUAUGUACCAUUUAAGUCUGUUGGUGAUCCUGCUUAUGUUUCAAUACUUAAAAUUAAAAGCUAAUUUCAACCAAUUUAGGAUUGAAAUUUUGCCAAAUUAUUCAGUUUCAAUAAGAAACAUUUUGUCAUGAGCACAAAUCAGUUUAUUUUGUUGUCACACUGAUAAAAAGGUCUAAAACCAGAUCAAACAGUAAAUCUAAAGGUCUAAAACCAGAUCAAACAGUAAAUCUAAAGGUCUAAAACCAGAUCAAACAGUAAAUCUAAAGGUCUAAAACCAGAUCAAACAGUAAAUCUAAAGGUCUAAAACCAGAUCAAACAGUAAAUCUAAAGGUCUAAAACCAGAUCAAACAGUAAAUCUGAGGGAAAUGAUCUUGCUGCAUGGACAGAUAAUUUACCUUGACAAGAUUUAUUAAAUUAAGAUUAUU